rnacentral:rRNA from 1 species
UAGGGAAUCUUCGGCAAUGGGGGGAACCCUGACCGAGCAACGCCGCGUGAGUGAAGAAGGUUUUCGGAUCGUAAAGCUCUGUUGUUAAGGAAGAACGAGUGUGAGAAUGGAAAGUUCAUACUGUGACGGUACUUAACCAGAAAGGGACGGCUAACUACGUGCCAGCAGCCGCGGUAAUACGUAGGUCUCGAGCGUUGUCCGGAUUUAUUGGGCGUAAAGCGAGCGCAGGCGGUUAGAUAAGUCUGAAGUUAAAGGCAGUGGCUCAACCAUUGUAGGCUUUGGAAACUGUUUAACUUGAGUGCAGAAGGGGAGAGUGGAAUUCCAUGUGUAGCGGUGAAAUGCGUAGAUAUAUGGAGGAACACCGGUGGCGAAAGCGGCUCUCUGGUCUGUAACUGACGCUGAGGCUCGAAAGCGUGGGGAGCGAACAGG